CCCCUCAGGCCACCAGAGCCCG
rnacentral:miRNA from 1 species